CAGCGCCGUCGCUGUGCGAGGAGUUGAAGAGAUAGAUGUCCUCAUCGUUGUAACUGGCCAGCAGCUCAGAGCCGUCGUGGCUGUACACCAGGCAGGUGAUGUUCGCUUUGGACUCGCUGUUUACCAGGUGGUGGGGGCAGAACUUCUUCAGCACGCCGUUGUUCUCGUUCUCGUCAAUCUUCCGCUGGUCGUAGAUCCUCACAAACUGAUCUCUGCCUCCCACGGCAAACUGGUAGGUGUUGGCCGGGUUCACGAAGAUGGUGUACAGCCCCACCUUCUUCUCCUUUUCCUUUGUCACCACCAGUUUCGAGGCAGGCCGGUCUUGUCGCAGAUCAAUGGUGAAGACUACAGCAUCUUCACCUGCUGAUAGGAAAGUGCAUGGAGAAUCCGGUUCUAGGGCCAGCUUGUGUGAGGCUCCUUUGUGCUGCGCCACGCGCUUGGUGCUCCUGCAGCACUGCGUGGCCGACAGCUCAGCCACCCGCACCUGCCCGUCC
rnacentral:lncRNA from 1 species